GUGGGGAAGCCUCUAAACUCACAAGGCAGAGCAGUGGAGCCGUCUCACAGGUGGCGCGGAGCAUGGGGAAUCCUCCUGAUCGAAGUAGAAGGCCCUGUGCCCCGCUGAAGGCCUUUCUGAAUCGUCAGAUGAGGAAGAUGUUUUGAGAGGAACUGACACAGUCUCAGGAGCCCCAUAGUGUCUCCAGAAGAGCUCCAGAGCAUAACUCCAAAGACUCCUGUCUCCAAGAAGUCUACUCAAAGAAGGGCUGGCCACCUCUUCCCAGGGCAGCCCCACUGUUCUACUUAGAGAGAUGGAAGGCAAGUUUCUUCCACCAUACGGCAUGGACACCCUUCCAAGAUGGCAGUCCCCACGGAGCAGCGCCACUUGCGAACAGUCAUAUUCUGAGCCCAACAGAACUGGGGAUGGUAAGGAAACUUUCACAGACUGCUCGGUAACUGCGCCCUGUUGACUGCAGACCGUAGCUUCGCAGGUGCUUUUGAGCAUGCGCACCAGACACCCGCCCAACCCAUUCCUCCCUUGGACGCCGUGCUAUUAAAAGUCAGAACUCAGAAGACAAGGGGUUUUCAGGGGCAUGCGGGUUAGUACUUGAGCCGGGCUGAGGUGAGUUUUCAGUAGUUACCUCUCCUCGUCUACUGUGCUGAGUUAUGCAGAUCAUCAGUGUUGGUGAUGGGGCUUGUGUGGAUUCAGUGUUGGGGUCUUUUACAUUGGAUGCCCAGCUAAUUGUUAUUCAGCUUUAACUUUUUCUAAUGUAAGCCUUAAGGCCUUACAUUUCCAUAUAAGGCCCAAAAGAUAUAUUAUAUGGUAUUAUUGUUCAUUUCCAAAUAUUUCAAAAUUUCAGUUACGAUUUUUUUUCAUUUCACACAUGUCAUUUGAAGUGCAUUUCUAUUUGCAAUAAACAGUUAAUCUGUUACUGAUUUCUAACCUAGUUUCUCAGUUUGUAAGAGAAUGUGAAUUGUGGCAUGAAUGUUUCUUGAAACCUGUGGAGUCUUGCCUUUAUGAUGAAGUCCUUUGCAUCUUCCCAUAAAUAUUCCAUUUAUUGCUUUAAAAGAAUAU